AACAGAUACUAAACUGGGCCUAUCAUAUCAAAAGGGUUGUCGAAAGAGAACCCGGCUACCUAUUUCAUUCGACGUUCCGGGGCGGGGGGAUGCUAAUUCCCGGAAGCCUGCUUAUGCGCAAGUGAUGAAAGAUUUUGGUAACUUCAUACAAGGAAAUCGGGAAGAUGCCAUUUCUUUUUAGCAGAGGGAAACCCAAUUAGUUAGGUGAAGUGUUCAAAUUCUGCUGUGGGAAGAAGUUAAUAUAUUAUUCAUGGAUCGUAAGAUCAUUAUAUACCAUACGAAUCACGGGUUGUAUUCUUAUAUUUUCGUUGUUCGAAUAAGAAUGCUAAAAUUUCUAAUGCACGUUGUUUGAUCCGUUUGGAAUCUUGACCAGGUAUGGAUUCAUGUUCAUACUGGAAAUCUGAGGGGAAGAUAUUGGAAUCAGAACCUUCACACAUUUGUCCAGCUAUAAAAGGAUUGAAGUGUGCAAAUAUGAGAUGGUAAAUGAUUUCCAGGAGCGUGAUUGUGACGCUCUUCUCCUUUUAGCUUUAAAGCUACGUUUGGAAGAAUGAGUAUGAAGGAAUUUUGAUUCAUAGAAUGGAAUCAGAACGUGGGUUUCACUUUUAAAUUUGGAAUUAUUUUUUCUAUCUAUAUCGAUUGACAUAGUUGUUUUUUUUUGGUAUCCACAAUGAAUUCAAAUCAUCUCUCAGUAGCUUUGUGAAGAAGAAGAAAAAGAAACUUAAGCA